AUACGGAGGGUGCAAGCGUUACUCGGAAUCACUGGGCGUAAAGCGCGCGCAGGCGGCCAUUUAAGUUGGAUGUGAAAGCCUACGGCUCAACCGUAGAACUGCAUCCAAAACUAUUCGGCUAGAGUGUGGGAGAGGAAGAUGGAAUUAGUUGUGUAGGGGUAAAAUCCGUAGAGAUAACUAGGAAUACCAAAAGCGAAGGCAAUCUUCUGGAACACUACUGACGCUGAGGCGCGAAGGCGUGGGGAGCAAUCAGGAUUAGAUACCCCGGUAGUCC
rnacentral:rRNA from 1 species